GGAGAGGUGCCGGAGUGGUUGAACGGGAUAGUCUUGAAAACUAUUAGAGCAGAAAUGCUUUCGCGGGUUCGAAUCCCGCCCUCUCCGCCA
rnacentral:tRNA from 1 species